CUUCCUCCAGCCCUGCACAACGAUCUGGACCUGCUUCCCCCAGAUGCCAUUAAGAGUUUGCUGGCCACCAUUUCCCACUGGGAAGCAGCAGCAGCAGCAACCGGCAAGAACGUGUUGCCCUUUGAAUCUACUGCGCAAUAGCAGCUAAUUCUCCACAGGGCGGUCACGUGAUCAGGAUGUCAUCAAGGUUCUUUUAGAGGGGUGGAACUUUAUUAGACCAUACCAUUCUGACAUGUACAGUUUAGGAAGCCCUAGAACUCCAAACAUCAAAUGGAAAUUCAAGAGCAGCAGCUUCAAGGCGGGUAUACAUGAAAAAGAUGUGUGGCUGCUUUAUUCUACCUAUCCUGUAUUGUCUCUAUAAAUAAUGCAAUAGCACAUUCCCUCUCCCCUUUAGAAAAUGGUAUAGCCCAGCCUUGUGAAAGGGAGGGGCUGCGAGUAACUUCCUUCCUUUCAGGAGAGUGAGUGAGAAGGAUGGAGCUGCUCUGUGACUGCACGUGGGCUGAAGAGCUGCACUGUGACCAUGAGGUUACUUUGUAUGACACGGUGGUGCCUCUUGCAGGGCCCCAAACAUACCGAGGGGCCACAGUUCCGAUCCCUGCUUGAGAAACCCUGAGGUGAUGGAAACGUUCAGUCGCAGUGUAUUCGCCCCUCCUGUAGAGGCACCGAGAGGAUCAUGUCUCUCCAAACUGAGAGGUCCCAUCCUACUAAAAGGGGAACGAUCGAGGUCAUGCCGCAGAUGAAUGACAGUCGCUUGCAGUUGUCUCCACUAUUCUGUUACGGUUUGAGCUUUGUCCCAGAAGUCAAGUCUAUGAUGCUGGGAGUUGUAGUUUAACACCUGGAAGAUGGCAUGUUGCUCACUCCUGAUUGUCUCACAGGAAAGGCUCUUUCCAGAUCUUCCUUUGAGCCCCUCCCCCUGUGGAAUAUGUUGGUGCUUUAUAAAUAAAAGUUAAGUUGAUGGCUCCUGUCUCCACUCUGUGUCCUUGAACAAGUCACUUAAUCUCCCUUCUCUUCAGGCACCAAAACUUUAAUGUACCGCACCUUGUGUCUAAAACCCCCUUCUCCUUUACGUAAGUUCUUUAAUGCAGGGCCCUGUUUACUUUCUGUAUAGAUCAAUAUCCGUUUGCUGUAUACACCCAUCUGUUGUAUAGCGCUGCAGACUAAAGGUGACCAUAGACGUAACAAUUACGAUCUUUCUUGGAAAACGUUUCAAUACACACGUGUAGAGCUGAAUCGUCAGAUAUACAGGUAGAUAUAUGGGAAGAAACAAUAGAAUUCUACCUGUAUCUGACGAUUCAGCACUAACAAUGGCCGAUGUUUGGGUCCCUUCAAAGGCACCCGAUCACAAUAUUCCGUCCAGCCCGAUCGACUAGCCGACCGAUAUCCAAGUCUUCUGCCGAUAUCGGUUGGCUUUUUCCACCAUACAUGCAACGAAUAUAGGACGAAAAUUCGUUUCGUACGAUAUCUGUGCGUCUAUGGCCACCUUAAGUUGGUGCUUUAUAAAUACAGGCCAAUUAUAAUUAGACGGGGUCCGAUUGUACCUGAAUUUUUCUUUGUAAAGUCCUGUGUUUACUUAUAUAUAAAUAAAGUAUUCUAAAAUUCUGCUAUA